rnacentral:rRNA from 1 species
AGCGAACGUUAGCGGCAGGCUUAACACAUGCAAGUCGAGCGAGAAAGGGGCUUCGGCCCUGAGUAAAGCGGCGGACGGGUGCGUAACACGUGGAUCAUCUGCCCUCUAGUGGGGAACAACAGUCCGAAAGGAUUGCUAAUGCCGCAUGUCACAGCUUGGUUUCCGAACCGGGUUGGAAAAGAGGGCGCCCGCAAGGGGCUCUCGCUAGAGGAUGAGUCCGCGGCCCAUCAGCUUGUUGGCGGGGUAAUGGCCCACCAAGGCAAUGACGGGUAGCGGGUCUGAGAGGAUGACCAGCCACACUGGGACUGGGACACGGCCCAGACUCCUACGGGAGGCAGCAGUAGGGAAUAUUGGGCAAUGGGCGAAAGCCUGACCCAGCCAUGCCGCGUGAGUGAUGAAGGCCUUCGGGUCGUAAAGCUCUGUGGGAAGGGACGAAAAAAACCGACCUAAUACGUCGGGGCUUGACGGUACCUUCUUAGCAAGCACCGGCUAACUCCGUGCCAGCAGCCGCGGUAAUAC